ACACAGUGUGUGAGUUCUUCCUUUGUCUUUUCCAUGGCCUGAUGUCUCUUACUUGCUUCAGAGGCCUCCUGCUGCAGGUUGCUCUGCAGAUUAGCUAUUGUCUGGGCUGGUGAGCUGCCUAUGGAGCCUGUGUGCUCAACUCCACUCUUCCAGAGAAGUCAUUGCCGUGUUCCUGGUGGCCCCAUCAGGCAUCCCUGGCACAUCCCCUCCGCACCAUCCCAUGGACCCAGGUGAUGCAGUGCAGAUGACUUGAGGAGUGAGCUGAGGAUGCCUGGCUUCUGAACCCUGGCACCAGUGAGGCAUUGAAGGACCAGGGAGAAACAGAUGAGUCGCAUUGAACUGACCCAUAUUAAAUGGUUUUGAUCUGCUCAUCAAACUCAUCAGUUCUUUCUACCUUAGUAAUACCUGCUGACUACACAUCAAAACCCCCCUCACCUCCUUUCCUUUCCCAGCAGUAAAAUGUGUGUUUGGUUGCCCUGAAUAACAAAGUCUGAGAUUUCC